rnacentral:rRNA from 1 species
UACGGAGGGGGUUAGCGUUGUUCGGAAUUACUGGGCGUAAAGCGCGCGUAGGCGGAUUAGAAAGUUGGGGGUGAAAUCCCGGGGCUCAACCCCGGAACUGCCUCCAAAACUACUAGUCUAGAGUUCGAGAGAGGUGAGUGGAAUUCCGAGUGUAGAGGUGAAAUUCGUAGAUAUUCGGAGGAACACCAGUGGCGAAGGCGGCUCACUGGCUCGAUACUGACGCUGAGGUGCGAAAGUGGGGGGAGCAAACAUC